AAAAAUCCUAUAUUUAUCUCUAAGGGUGCGUUUGGUUCGCGCUAUCUUUUAAAAAAUUCCUAGUAAUCUAAUGAAAAUAAAAAAAUAUGACGGUGUUUGGCUAAACGCACUAAGUAAUCUAGUUGGUAAUAUUGAAUUUACUUGGGAAUAAGAUUCACCCAAAGUACUAAUCUCAUUCCCUUGAGGGAAGGUGGGUAUCCUCAUAUUAAUGGAUUGAGAUAAUCAUAAUAUGUCUAAUCUCUUUCUUUCUUCCUACCCGCCGGCUAAUUGAUAUUAUUUUUCUUUACACUCUAACCUUAUAUCUCUCUCUAAACUUAUUUUUCUCCCUAAAAUUCAACUUUUUCUUCUCUCUCUAAACUAAGCUUUCUCUCUCUCUUUUUCUAAAAUUUCAACUCUCUCACUCCCUCUAAUUUCGACUAUAUUUUUCUUUCUAUUUUUUUAAGUAUGCUCUCUCUCUCUAACUUAUACUCUUUCUCCCUUUUUUCUAAAAAGAUGUUGGAACUUUUGGUAACAUUAUCUAAAAUUAAUUAAAUUAAUUAAUUAAUUAAUUGUAUAUUUUUUGCAAUAUUAAAUAACAUGGCUAAUUAAUAUUACCGUGCGANGAUGUUGGAACUUUUGGUAACAUUAUCUAAAAUUAAUUAAAUUAAUUAAUUAAUUAAUUGUAUAUUUUUUGCAAUAUUAAAUAACAUGGCUAAUUAAUAUUACCGUGCGAACCAAACACAGGAAUUCCACAUUCUUAGUAAUAGGAUGAAUAGGAAUAAGAUUCUCGGAUAUCUUUUAUUCCUAGUAAUCUUUCAUAAUGCGAACCAAACGCACCCUAAUUGUUAUAUUUAUAGCUUUAAUGUAUCUGGUUUGGUUCACCUGGUUUGGUUCAAAAAGAGAAAAAAGAAAUCUUAUUCAAUUCAAACAAAAAAAAGAACCCGGUUUAGUUCAAGCCGAAAAAAGCAGAAUUUGAGCUAGUUUGAACAUGUUGACCCAAAAACAAAGAAGAGGAAACUCGGUUCGAUUCAAAUCAAAAAAGAGCAAAACUCUAGCCGGUUCGAGCAUGUUGACCCGGUUCAGUAAAAAAAGAUAGAAAUAGAAAGAAAACUUGAGCCAGUUCUGGUUGGCACGUACACUAAACAAUCCGGUUCGGUUCAAGUAAGAAAAGAUGAAAUAUGUGAAGAAUUUGAGCCGGUUCGGAUUGGCACCCACAUUAAACAAUCCGGUUUGGUUCAAGUAAGGAAUAGAUGUGGAGGAUUUGAGCUGGUUCGGUUUAAGUAAGGAAUAGAUGUGAAGGAUUUGAGCUGGUUCGGAUUGGUGUCUAU
rnacentral:lncRNA from 1 species